CCUACCGUGACGUUUCAUCUAUCGGAGGGAAUGGAAGAGUUUGAUCAUGGCUCAGGACGAACGCUGGCGGCGUGCUUAACACAUGCAAGUCGAACGGAAAGGCCCUGCUUUUGUGGGGUGCUCGAGUGGCGAACGGGUGAGUAACACGUGAGUAACCUGCCCUUGACUUUGGGAUAACUUCAGGAAACUGGGGCUAAUACCGGAUAGGAGCUCCUGCUGCAUGGUGGGGGUUGGAAAGUUUCGGCGGUUGGGGAUGGACUCGCGGCUUAUCAGCUUGUUGGUGGGGUAGUGGCUUACCAAGGCUUUGACGGGUAGCCGGCCUGAGAGGGUGACCGGCCACAUUGGGACUGAGAUACGGCCCAGACUCCUACGGGAGGCAGCAGUGGGGAAUAUUGCACAAUGGGCGGAAGCCUGAUGCAGCAACGCCGCGUGCGGGAUGACGGCCUUCGGGUUGUAAACCGCUUUCGCCUGUGACGAAGCGUGAGUGACGGUAAUGGGUAAAGAAGCACCGGCUAACUACGUGCCAGCAGCCGCGGUGAUACGUAGGGUGCGAGCGUUGUCCGGAUUUAUUGGGCGUAAAGGGCUCGUAGGUGGUUGAUCGCGUCGGAAGUGUAAUCUUGGGGCUUAACCCUGAGCGUGCUUUCGAUACGGGUUGACUUGAGGAAGGUAGGGGAGAAUGGAAUUCCUGGUGGAGCGGUGGAAUGCGCAGAUAUCAGGAGGAACACCAGUGGCGAAGGCGGUUCUCUGGGCCUUUCCUGACGCUGAGGAGCGAAAGCGUGGGGAGCGAACAGGCUUAGAUACCCUGGUAGUCCACGCUGUAAACGGUGGGUACUAGGUGUGGGGUCCAUUCCACGGGUUCCGUGCCGUAGCUAACGCUUUAAGUACCCCGCCUGGGGAGUACGGCCGCAAGGCUAAAACUCAAAGGAAUUGACGGGGCCCCGCACAAGCGGCGGAGCAUGCGGAUUAAUUCGAUGCAACGCGUAGAACCUUACCUGGGUUUGACAUGGAUCGGGAGCGCUCAGAGAUGGGUGUGCCUCUUUUGGGGUCGGUUCACAGGUGGUGCAUGGCUGUCGUCAGCUCGUGUCGUGAGAUGUUGGGUUAAGUCCCGCAACGAGCGCAACCCUUGUUCACUGUUGCCAGCACGUUAUGGUGGGGACUCAGUGGAGACCGCCGGGGUCAACUCGGAGGAAGGUGGGGAUGACGUCAAGUCAUCAUGCCCCUUAUGUCCAGGGCUUCACGCAUGCUACAAUGGCUGGUACAGAGAGUGGCGAGCCUGUGAGGGUGAGCGAAUCUCGGAAAGCCGGUCUCAGUUCGGAUUGGGGUCUGCAACUCGACCUCAUGAAGUCGGAGUCGCUAGUAAUCGCAGAUCAGCAACGCUGCGGUGAAUACGUUCCCGGGGCUUGUACACACCGCCCGUCAAGUCAUGAAAGUUGGUAACACCCGAAGCCGGUGGCCUAACCGUUGUGGGGGAGCCGUCGAAGGUGGGACUGGUGAUUAGGACUAAGUCGUAACAAGGUAACCGUCCAUUCCCUCCGAUAGAUGAAACGUCACGGUAGGCG
rnacentral:rRNA from 1 species